rnacentral:rRNA from 1 species
UACGAAGGGGGCUAGCGUUGCUCGGAAUGACUGGGCGUAAAGGGCGCGUAGGCGGUUCAUACAGUCAGAUGUGAAAUUCCCGGGCUUAACCUGGGGGCUGCAUUUGAUACGUGUGGGCUUGAGUGAGGAAGAGGGUUGUGGAAUUCCCAGUGUAGAGGUGAAAAUUCGUAGAUAUUUAGGGAAGAACACCAGUGGCGAAGGCGGCUCACUGGUCCGGUACUGACGCUGAGGUGCGAAAAGCGUGGGGGAGCAAACAGG